ACCGCCACGGAUGGCGGUGGUUCCACGCAGCAGCGACGUUUUAAAGCAGGUAUGGUUCCAAACAGAAGCGAUGUUUUAAAGCAAAGCUGCUUGCAAAGCUUUAAAACUCGCAGGUUUGGGUUUGACAUGGACGUCAAAACCAAACCGUUG
rnacentral:sRNA from 1 species